GAACCUUAUGUAAUGCUUUCUUCAUCAAUCAUCACUAACAAAUCUCAUCAGAGAAGGGUUUUAGGGUUCGCUUCCUUUGCCCGUCGCCCUUCUCUCUGCAUACUCGCUUCGUCGUCGUCGUCGGCGGCGGCGGCGGCGUUGUUUUUUUGUUCCGAUUAGCUGGUUCUCUCUAACUUAUAAGUUAUUUAUGCUUCUCCUACUCUGUAUUUUACUUUUCGCUUUGCCGUUAAUCGUAUCUUUUCCGGCAGCAUUGAUGAUGAAACACUCUUAUUGUUAUCCUUGCACUUUGAUUUAUCGUGAAGAAACUCAUGGGGAAUAGUGUUCCUGAAAUGCUUUUGUUUAUUGAAAGAGUCAUUAGUUUUCCAUUUUGUAGAUCAGGCGUUUUUCUGUUCUAACUUCGCGUCUGGAUCGAUGAUGUGAUUUUAUCUGCGUUAUCUAUCUGCAAUUUCCUUCUAGGAAUUGAAGAUAAACGAAUAGUCUCUGAGAUCUGUUUGUUGUCUUCUUCAUCUUCUGUAAUUUUGGCUGAUUGAUUUGUUUCUCUAUCGGUUUUAGUUGAUUUCUGUGAGAUUUGGGAUUGUUUGCUUGCUUGGUUAUGUGAUUAUACUAAUGCAGCCCUUGGAUAUUAAUGGAAAACUGCGUUAUCUAUCUGUAAGUUCCAAUAUGGAAUUGAUGAGAUUAGUGAUUUCAGAGAUCCAUCUGCGUUGCCAUCAUAGUGUAUAGUUCAAGGAUAGAAUCUAUUCUUUUCUCCACCCACCAGAUAGCCACAUGAAGCUGCUGUGCUGUUGGAUGGCUAAUUGAUGGGUACUGCUGCGAUUUUGAUAUUGAACAUUCGAAAAAUUACUAAUCUAUUUUACAUUAUUUCGGUCUUUGAAUAUUCUA